UUCCUCCUACACACCCCAGCUUCUCAAGCUCAACCCCCUUGUUUGCUGAGGCGGCAGACUGCCAGGCAGAUGUAUGCCGCCGCGGGCAGAAGGAGGCCCCCGACUACCCGGGCACAAAUACACUCACAUCUGGGCACAACACCUCUCCCACCCAUAUGUAGAAAACCACGCACCUCUCACCCACCUCCCCACACUUGCACAACUUAGCUAGAGUCCCAAAUAUGGCUCGCUCUAACUCCUCCUCCCCUCACCCCCGCCAGUCCUCAUAAAAAAGCCCCCUAAGACGUGCGUUUAAAAAGUCUCAUCAUCACUCUGCUAGGGAAUCAAGAAAGCUGUUGAUACAUAACCUGGGGAUGAGCACACAUAAACACAAAAGCUCACAAGCCCCACAUGUGCAUAUAUGAUACUGCCCGGGCUCACUUCUUCAACAGAUUCUACAGACACAACGUACAAAAAUAAUUGCACAGAACUUGUACACACACGCUGUGCAGAUAAAUGCAGACGUGUGCAUGCAGACGUAUGACACAGGGGUAGUCACCCUAUCCGAGAUGUUGCAUUACAUCCUUAUCUAUCUAUCUAUCUAUCUAUCUAUCUAUCUAUCACCUAUCAAUCAUCCAUCAUCUAUCUAAUGUAUAUAUUUAUGCAUAGAUACUGGCUUCAGAGAAACAUCCUUCCCUUCCCAUACUAGAAUCUCCCUAACCUCUUGGUAUCUUGCUUCAGAAUAAAACAAAAAUGCCACUCUCACCUUGCCUGGGAGGAAGAAAAAUACCCUAAACCCUAGUAUUGGGAAAUAUAAAAAAAAUCGUUGUCUUUUGGGGUCUGUGGUGGAGGAAGGAUGUGGGCUUUUGUGAGAGGCUGGGAAAAGGAGAUAGGGGAGGAGAAUUGUGGAGGAGCAGCCUGACUGGAUUGUGGUGGCCAGUGUCCCCUAGCCAGUCAGGGUACUGGAGCUGGCAGUGUGGCUUGUUAAAUGGAUAGAGUGGGCCAUCUCGGAGGAAAGUAGAAAGAAAGUCUUUCUCAGCUAAGCUCCCAGAGGAAGGAAGGAAAGAAAGGAUGGCUGUUGCUCAGGCUCAAUAACUGAAGUGGGCAAGGAGGGGAAAAUGCCCUGUGGUUCUGGUUGGGAGAGGGGAUCUUAAAACAGCACUGCAGUGAAUCCACAGCCACUGGCCACUCAUAGCAUAGCUGUUGCACGCUUUCCUUCCUACCUGAAUGUUUGGGCUACAGGCUCUGUUUGCCAAAGGGAAAAUGAGUGGGAGGGAAAUUCUGGUGGCCACUCAUGAUAGGAAUGGGGUUAGUCAGCUUAGGCUCCCAAACCGAGCUGGAAGCUGGCCGGGAUUCCAGGGUUUGGGGCAUAGGGGUGUCUCCCCCAGCAUGUUUGGGACCCACCCACCCUUGUAACUGAAAAUCUGUUCCCCAAUCUGUCUCUGGCACAUCCUUGAUCCCCCCCCCCCCCCACCUCCACCAAAUGGCAGGAUGUUCUGGAACUCAGUCCCUUGCCUAAAUCACGGGCACAUCUGGGGCCUUGGUUUGUGCCAGCUCUUGUUGAACUUCAAAUUCAGAAUCCAGAGGGGAAAGGGAAGGAGGAAAUUGGGGAUAGAAUGGGUAUCAGGCCUGGACUCUGUGCUUUUCUCUUCCCAAAUUAGAGCCGAGGAAUUCGGGAUUUAGCGAGUUUGCAGUAAAGUCUCCCAAGUUGCUAGGCAACAUCCCUCUGCAGGCUGCGCUGCCUCUGGGCCCUUCUUCCUGCUGGUCAGAGCUGGAGGGGGGGGGGAGUAUCUUUACAACAUGCCCCCCCCUAAACUCCCACACAGGCAGCCCAGCCCUUCCCUCUUCCUAAGACGCCCUUGUGUGGGGUGAGGGCGUCUCUGAACACUGGCGGCGGUGGAAGAGCAGAAAUGGCAACUGUCAGUUCCAUCCGCAAAACAAGCAUUUCAUCAACAGCCCACUUGAGGCGCCUACGCGGAACUGGCCACUGUGCUUGCCCUGGGGGAUGGGCAGUCUCUGAGGGCAGAAAGAAACUCUUAUCCAGGAGAUGGAGACCCUCUUCCUGUCGUCGAGAAUGAGCAUCUCUUGGAGUCUGUGUAUGUGAUGGAAGCACUGAAAGUAAGGGAUUAUUAACUACAAGCUUUUGUUAUUCUGUAAUUUGGAUGGAGCAUUUGAGUUUAACGAGGUGAGCUUCCAUGCUUGGGGGACCAGAAUGCUUCCACAUGCAACCGAGCAGAGCCCUGAGCUCCUUGAGGACAAAGCUCCUUUGUUCAGGAUCUCACUCUGCAUCCUUCAUUUGGCUGUUGAUUUGCAUCCUUUAUCAUAUCCUGUAAUAAACUGGUAAAUGUAAGUAAGUGUUUCCAUGGGUUCUGUAAGCUGCUCUAGCAAAUUAAUCAAACCUAGGGAUGAGGUCAUUGGAGCUUCCAAUCUGUAGCUGGUGGGCCAGAAGCAAAAGUAACAGCCUGGGGCUUGUGACUGUUAUCUUAAGUGGGGGAUGGGGGACAGUCUUGUAGGACUGAACCCUUAACCUGUGGAAUCUGAUGUUAUCUCUGGGUAGUUAGCAUCAGAAUUGAGUCGAAUUCUCAGACACCAGCAGGCUAUCUGAGAAUUGCUUGGCAUUGUGUGUGUGUGUGUGUGAUGUCCACCCCCCCCCCCCCCCCCCCCCCCCCGCUUUGGAAUUGGGUUUGGGAACCCUAAAAGAGAAGGUAACACUGAUUUCUGUGAGGUCUUGAAGGAAAAGCCAAGCCUCCAUCUUUAAGGCAGGCCUGGAGAGAAGUGGCAAGGGAAAGGAGGAAACAUAAGCCAUCCUUGGAGAUGAGGUGUCUUGACAGAGUUGAAAAUCCUUAUAGGAAUCUAGAAGUGGCUUAAAUUUUUUUUCAUGUUUAUUUAUUUUGAAAGAGAGAGAACACAUGCAUGUGAAAGUGAGGAGGGGCACAGAGAGAGGGAGAGAGAAAAUCUCAAGCAGGCACCGCACUACAGGCACAGAGCCAGUGUGAUCAUGACCUGAGCCGAAAUCAAGAGUCAGAUGCUUAACUGACUGAACCAGAAUCUAGAGGUUUUCAUCUAAGAUGGGGACACUGGUGCUCUGUGUGUGUUAGGUUGAGUUACAUGGCCUAAUCUUUUAGGCAUAGAAGAAGAAGACUGUUGUUUUGCUCCCGGAUAGCUUGACAAUGCUUGUAAAGGUGUCAGCACUGGGAGACGGUGUUGUUCCGGGAAGCGCAAGAAAGAGGCCUGGAUGGGGCCUGGGUCUGGGAUGGGUGGCGUCUGAGUGUUUUGGACGCCUUUGGGAAGGAGGUCCCAUGCGAGGUGCUCCCCUCACCCUUCCCUUUUCUGUCUUUCUUAAAAUACCCUGUGUUCCUGCAGCAGUGCGGCUGCUAAUCUAAAAUAAAAACAGCAGGAAAUGCAAAUGGUCAGGUUCUCCUAGCAACAGGAGCCAACCCACGCAGGGCGUGUGGAGCAGAGCAGAGCUGUCCCUAGGCUGGGAUGCGGAUGGCUGGGCAAGGGGCAAGUCUCCUCUUACAGCUUCGUCCUCUAAUGUCAUGGAGUGGCUGUCUGGUGGGCACCUGCUGCACAGAAGAAACUCUCCAGGAACUGGAUGGGGGCAGAGGUGCUGGGGAGCAGGUGCAAGGGUAGGGGAGAUAGACCAUGGCAGUGGUUGGAACCGGUGCUUCUCAGAGCCUGACGCUAGAAGACUAACUAGGUGCGUGACUGAGGAAGGGCCUGGAUUUGUGUGCCUCUUUCUGUGUGUUUGUUUCAAUCAGGCCACGGAGUCUUGUCAUUCCUAAGGUUAUGAAAAAAAAGGAAGUAAGGUUUCCCCCGCUAUCCAAAAGUAGAGCUUUCCUAAGAAACCAUUCCUAAAUCGAAAUGGUACAAAAUGGUAUAAAUUGCAAAGAAGCAAUUACAUGUUAAUUUAUACGGAACAUUUUUUAGCAGUAGCAGACCCCAAAAAUAACCUCUCUUAGGACUUUCUGAUACCUUAGGACACAUCUUGCUGACGGGUGCACAAAAUAAAUCAAGAUAAAGCUAGCUGCUCGCAGACACACGUCAAAGCUCUGGUGGGGUCGCGCUCACUGUUUGGGGGCACGGAUGCGUGCACUGCCUCUUUGGAACAAACACACAACACUAUUUUCGCUUUUGGCCUUUUGUCAUAAAAGCGAAAAUCCUCUUUGGAUUUCUUUCAGUUAGCGAAAACAGGUGCUAUGAUAUGUCUUUGGUAAAAGCAAAGUGGUGGAAGGCGAACUUUCGGAAAGUGGAGGAUACCUGUAAAAGAGGAUCCGGUUCCUAGGUAAGGGGAUCAAAAUCAGGAAACUGCAAAGAACUCUUAGAGACAUCUGGCUUGAUCCCCUUCUGUUAAAAAUGAAGAAACCGAGUUCCAGAGAGGUAAGUGACUUUCCCAAGACAGAUCUAAUUAGUGGCAGAAGUGGUGCUAGGAAACAGCUCGCCAGGCCAAGACUCUUUCCAUUUUAAGUCAAAGCUGCUGCUGGCAAUCCUUUGUACACAGCUAGAUAAUUAGAAGCCGUGAUAACCUUACUGGGGCCCUGGGGGAAAAAGGUCUGAGGUGCAUCAAAUAAGUCUAAAGGCAUUGGAGAGACCAAUGGCUGGGGGGGGGGGGGGGGGGGGGAGCACAACCCUUGUGGAGUACCAUGGAAAAGUGAGCACCCAAAGGUGAGAGGCAUUGGCUGGGGGUUAGAGACAAAAGGAUGUCACUCAGAGUGCCACACAGCUCCAGUGCUAUAGGCAUUCCCCUGGCGGCCUCUCAGUGGGAAAUGGGAGGAAGAUCAUCCUUCUGUCAAGGUUACAUGGGGGAAAAUGGGAGGUGUGGGCGAGUUGCUCAAGGGGACAGAUCCAAGUGUGGUAGAUCUUGGAACAGAACUCUGGAAUCCUGGCUCCCUGACUCCCAGAGUGGUCCAUGUGGCCUAGACUGUGUGGUUUCCUAUUACAUAAGCAACUCUUUUCAUUACUCACGCUCUGGCUUCCUCCUGCCUGUCUCCAGCAGCAUCUCCCCCAGAAAACACAGUGGAAGAAAAACGUUCUUCGUUCCAGUGGAGUCUUGGUAACUUAAAUACAUGGUCAAUCUUAAGGAUUCCAGGGCGGGUAAGCAGGGUGCAUCACAGACACAAGCCAUGUCAGGGAAAGUGGCUGGUGUUCUCAGAGCUUGAUUUCAGAACCACUGGCAUAGGAAUAAUCUACACAUCUGCACGCUUCACUUCCCUGUGGCCCUGUGCCCCCCUCCUCUGCCCCCCACCACAGUCAAAGUCCUGGAAAGGUGCCCUCUGUCCUCACCUUCCCAAGCUGCCCCACCUCUCUGGCCCAAAGCCCAAACUGAGGCAGUCCGUUGAUGAACCGAAGAAGGAACUUGGGCUUUGGUGCCAGCAGCCUGAGCUCAAACUCUAGCUUAGUCGCUAACUCUAUGGCCUUUAGCAACUAAAGUUAGCUUUUGAGAAUUGGAUUCUUUAUCUGUAAAAUGAGAGCAAUUGUGUCUACCUCAUAAAGCCAUAUCCCAUAGAUGUAUGUAAAGUGUUAGCACAGCCAGACAUACAGGAGACACGCAACAGAUACUGGCUUCUGCACUUCUUACUUAUGGUUGCUGUUGCUUAGGGACCAGGUGGGAAUUUCAGCUGCGAUUGCCAAGGCAAGGAAUGCUAUUUUCCAGGUAGCCCAAGAUGGAGCUCAGACUAUAAUUCUACCACACACAAAAAUUAGUUUGUCUUUAUUAUUGAUUAAAUAGGUUUUUAUGGAUUGA